GAUGAACGCUGGCGGCGUGCCUAACACAUGCAAGUCGAACGGAAAGGCCCUGCUUUUGUGGGGUGCUCGAGUGGCGAACGGGUGUGUAACACGUGAGUAACCUGCCCUUGACUUUGGGAUAACUUCAGGAAACUGGGGCUAAUACCGGAUAGGAGCUCCUGCAGCAUGGUGGGGGUUGGAAAGUUUCGGCGGUGGGGGAUGGACUCGCGGCUUACCGGCUUGUUGGUGGGGUAGUGGCUUACCAAGGCUUUGACGGAUAGCCGGCCUGGGAGGGUGACCGGCGACAUGAGGACUGAGAUAGGGCCCAGACUGCUACGGGAGGCAGCAGGGGGGAAUAUUACACAAUGGGCGCGAGCCUGAUGCAGCGACGCCGGGUGCGGGAUGACGGCCUUCGGGUUGUGAACCGCUUUCGCCUGUGACGAAGCGUGAGUGACGGUAAUGGGUAAAGAAGCACCGGCUAACUACGUG
rnacentral:rRNA from 1 species